rnacentral:lncRNA from 1 species
AGAUUGCAUGAUCAUAGUUCCUACACAACAAGAGAAACAACAGAAGCUGUAAUCAAAGCUCCACAAGUUUCACAAAAGCAUAAUCGAUUUUCCUAAUAUUGACAACAAUCACACUACCAGAGUCUUCGCUUUCAAAGCAAUCUUUUAUAAUUCAUUGUGCAAGAAGUAGUAACCAACUGAACAUUUUAGAGGAAUAAGGAAAUAAUCGUCUGGAAGAAAUGAUAUUCAUAAAUAGAUGAUAGCCUCAACUUGAUCGUAUUAACCUAAAUGAAAAAGAAAAGCUUGCUUAAUUAGUUCACUUCAAAUUACAAGUGUCCAUUCGUGUCAAUAAGUCACAUAGGAAUUAGCUACGCUAAGGUAUGUUAAUCCAAUUAGAACGAAAUUAUCUAAACAUGAAAAACCUUUACCCAUUGUUAGUGCCUUCAGGAAAUUUAAGAAUCAAUUUACAAUGAUUCAUUACAUGUGCUGUGAGACCUAGCCACUAUAACUCUGUUUACCUUCAUCCAAGUAUAAAGUUAACACAUUGACAGACUACCACCCAAAACUUAAUAAAUAAAACUACAUAUUUAACUAAGAAAUGAUGAUCUGGCCUUUCAUUUAGUUUACGUAAUAAUUCAGUUAAGCAAAUCCAAGGAGAUUAACACAAUACAAUUCAAAGCAUUAAUUUUCCAAUUCAAUAAACAAAAUUAAAAUCUAAAUUGAGGCUAAAAUAGCAAUUUGACCUUUAACGAUAGCGUCUGAACCUCGUACAUGAUUUGUCCAUCGUGAUGGAGUUCAC